rnacentral:rRNA from 1 species
UACAGAGGUGGCAAGCGUUGUUCGGAAUUACUGGGCGUAAAGGGCGCGUAGGCGGCUUGGUCAGUCCCGUGUGAAAUCCCUCGGCUCAACUGAGGAACUGCACGGGAAACUGCCUGGCUUGAGUUCGGGAGAGGGAAGCGGAAUUCCCGGGUGUAGCGGUGAAAUGCGUAGAUAUCCGGAGGAACACCGGUGGCGAAGGCGGCUUCCUGGACCGACACUGACGCCUGAGGCGCGAAAGCUAGGGGAGCAAACGGGU